AUUCAAACCCCCACAGCGAACAACCUAAUCAAAAGAUGGCUACCGACCUGAGAAGAAGCAAAACCGGCUAAGGAACCUCUUUAAAGAUGUUGAUUUACUCGUCACUGUGCACCCAGAACUUUCUCAAGUAUCGUGUGCCAGGAUAAGAGGUUCACAAAGAUUGGGAAAGCUUUCAUCGUUACUCUUGAUUGAUUGAACUUGGCAGCCUUAUUCUUGGAGCUGUGAUACCUUGAGAACCCUAACAGCAUGGACGCAUCAUCAGAAGGAUAAAAUCCAGAAGAAAAAUUCAUUGGUAGAACGAUGUUUUCAACACCCAGUGAGGUCAUCCAUUCUCAGCCGGCUGCUUUGAGACCGGAGUGAUGAUCAAUCAAUCCUUUCUCCGGAAGAGCCUAUCCAACUAUAAUGUCAACAGAAGAUUCUUCUAGCCAUUUCCUCGGUGUCCCUCCUUUUUAGCAACUGCAUGACCAGUCCUUCUGUCUUCUUCCCUACUCCUGUCUCUUCCCUGCAAUGGCUGGGAUUUCUGGAUGAGGCUAUAUAGAUUGGUUUGGAGCUACUGGCUUUGGUAGUGUGUUCCACCACACCUUUCAUGCUGUGCUUCCGUGGAGCUGUGGUGUCAAGUAACUUCAGAGAAGUAUCCCUUUGUGCUAAUAAGUGGGCUCCUCAAGGGGCUCUAAUCUCCUAUAGAUCAGAAUCAUAUUUGGUAGUUUGGGGUUUGGGAUGACAGGAGUUUCCCUCAAUUUAUCAGUGCCCUCCCAAAACCUGACCAAUAACCUGAGAAUAAUAAGCUCUGCUUAUUUUAUAGCGCCGAUUCUCACGAUAGCCAACAUUUCCCCCACAAGAAGUAACUUCCUCCUGCAAGAUUAGCAUUAAUCCUUUCAGGAGGAUGGAGCCCCCGUGAGACCCAAACACCUCAUAAACAUCUCAGCACCUCUCCACAUUUUACCCUGGGAACCAAAUUUCAGCAUGGAUUUUGGAAGAGACAGACCAUCUUAAAGCCAAGAUUUUGGGCAUCAAUUCCUGUAGGACCCUUACUCUGCCCAGAAAAGCUACAGAUGUGGGCAGACAUCAAUUUAUGGUUUUAAAGAAAGCCCUGAAUUAAGCUACUUUUUAAGGAGCAGACUUCAUGCUCAAAAAAUGAUUUGAGGCAGAAAGUCUAACAAUGAUACAUUUGCCAGUAUUAUGGCCUUUUAAACAGCAAAUGUGAAAUGAAAGAUGUCGAAAGUAUUUAUGACUUCAGCUAGGGAUUUGGCAAGCAUCAGUUCAUAUCUUGAUAAAUCACCUAAACACUGAGCAGCGUUUGUGUUCAGCUAAGAUAAAGCUAGAAUUAAUAGGCUAAUGUCAUCUGAAAGUAUGUAUUACUAAUUCUUAAUAGUAUGACAUUAUUUUCCCUGACAGACACAUUUAAUAUCCCAGGAGAUUCAUAUAUUAGGAAAUAAGCACCAUUAUACUAUCUUAUCCCCAAAGAGGGACACCUAUAUACACAACUGUCAUCUUUAUCUUUUUGUCAUUUAUUCAUGUUUCUUCUUUGAUGUUGUUACCUUUGUUCAAAGUAAUGGACCCCAAAAUGUCAUAAAUGGCUCCUUUGUAGGUACUGUGAUAGAGCUGUACACCCAAUAAAUGAUCAUUAAGUCCAA